GAGACUUGACAUCCCNNGAAGAUNUGUGAAAGCAGAGUUUGCCUUUNGGCACCCGGAACCAGGUNGCAUGGUNGUCGUCAGCUUGUNUUGUGAGAUGGUGGGNUAAGUCCCGCAACGAGCGCAACCCCUAUCCUUUAGUUGCNGCGGGUAAGUUGGGGAAUUUAAAGGGACCGCCGGUGACAAACCGGAGGAAGGUGGGGAUGACGUCAAAUCAUCAUGCCCCUUAUGNCCUGGGCUACACACGUGCUACAAUGGCCGGUACAGAGGGAAGCGAAGGAGUGAUNUGGAGCGAAUCCCAGAAAGCCGGUCUCAGUUCGGAUUGCAGGCUGCAACUCGCCUGCAUGAAGUNGGAAUCGCUAGUAAUCG
rnacentral:rRNA from 1 species